UGGAGCAAAGGUGGUUGUGCCGAUAUUCACGGUGGUGGAAGCUUCCGUGCGUGAUGGCAGGGAGUUUGAGGAGAAAGAGAAAGGGGGGCAUGAGGGGGAACUGUUAAACUGAGAACUCAACAAGAAGAUGAGAAAACUCACUUCUUAGUAGUUUUUAAUAAGGACGCUACUACAGCCAUAGAGAAAACUCACUCAAGGUGGCCACCAAAUAGGUUAAAAUAUUUAUAAAAAAAAACUUUUUCAUACAUUUUUUUAGGGAGCCACUACAGAUAAUCCCACACAGUUUUUUUUUUUUUUUUUCCUCCAGAAAGUGAGUAGAGUUUUCAUUACUGCCAUGCCAUCUCGUUUAUAGAGUUCCCAGCAAGUCCCAUUUCACAAGUUUUCAUUCCCCGCCCAACGUCCCUGUUAGUAUUCUUCAGCAACCCAAUGUUAGCCACCGGUAUCGCCGGCAUCGUCCUUAACAUUGCCGGAAGUUACAAUCACGUUGGAGCCCUUGCCGGCAGCUAUAAUCAAGAUGGAACCGUGUUGAUUGAUAUUUUUUAAGGAUGAUCAUGACAGUGACAGUCCUGACACUCUACAAGACCAAGAAGAGCAAGUUGGGUAUCAGUAUACCAAGAAUCAAAAGGUUGAAGAGCUUAAGGUUGAUAUGAUAUUUGAGACUCAAGCAGAUAUUAUUGAACACUACAUAAAGUAUGCCAAAAAUGAGGGAUUUGGAUUGUCAGAAAGGAUAUCAACUAUUGGAGAUUAUGGGAAGGUAAAAUACUUCACAAUAGUAUGCAGUUGCCAUCACAAGCCAAUAAGCAAAUCAUCAAAAAUUGAUCAGCCAAAGCCGAUAGGAGGACAAAUUGCAAGGCUAAGAUUAAUGUAAAACAAAUAGCCAAUAGAGGGUAUCAGUUAUUCAAUGUUGUCCUCAAACACAAUCAUGUAAUGAGUCCGAGUAAGUCAAGAUAUAUUACUUGUCAUAAAAAAUUAUCAUGUUAGUAAAAUAAAA